GACGAACGCUGGCGGCGUGCUUAAUACAUGCAAGUCAACUUGACUUUAGAUAGCAAUAUCGAAAAGUAGGGUGGCGCACGGUGCGUAACGCGUAGGUAAUCUGCCCUGAGGUCUGACAUAACCCGUCGAAAGGCGGGCUAACAUCAGAUGAUAUAUAAUCAACGACAUCGUGGAAAUAUCAAAUCUUCGGAGCCUUGGGAUGAGCCUGCGUCUGAUUAGGUAGUUGGCGGAGUAAUAGCCCACCAAGCCUACGAUCAGUAGCUGGUCUGAGUAGGACUGAUCAGCCACACUGGAACUGAGACACGGUCCAGACUCCUACGGGAGCAGCAGUAAGGAAUAUUGCUC
rnacentral:rRNA from 1 species